rnacentral:lncRNA from 1 species
UUUUUUUUUUUUUUUUUUAUUAUUAUUGUCCCAAUCCACCGACUUCCAUGGAUCAGCUCAGCCCCCCUCAUCUAUCUGAACCCACCCCAGUGGCACCAGCCCAUACCCGUGACUUUACUGUCUGAAGAGCUCAGUUAUUGCUGUGACCCGAAGUUGUCAUAGACUCAACUUUCUUAUUUGCUGCCACUCACUGGGUGCUCUCUGUGCUCAGGGACAAUGCCCCUGAUGGUCCAUCGCUGGCCUCCUGUGCCACUUGGUUAGUUCUGAGCAGCCAGCAUGAGGAAUGCGUCUCCAGGGCGUCAGUGGUCACUGUCACUGGAUAUCGUCAUCCAAGGACUACGGGAAUGCCUCAUCCCAGGAGAGAUGCCACUGAAGACUGGUCCACGGGCUUCCUUUUAGUGUCUCUGGGCAUCAGGGCUGGACAUUUCCUCCUCUCCUGCCCUUCCACAGCCCCUCAGAAGGUCUGUAGGAGGAGGGAGGCAUCUUGAAUUGGGUUUGUUUUUGGAUGACUGGCUUCCUUCCUACCGGGUGUUGCAGCUGGGACAGAGUGCUGCACUUCGACCUAAUUCUGAUGGUCUUCAGCUUGAGAUGGUACGUGUGGCACAGGACAGUGAUGGCCAGGGCCAAUGGUUACCUGUUCGGAAGCCCUGACCCCCCCGCCCCCGCUCAGGGGCUUCUAUGAUUCCCUGCCUUUGUCCAAGCCCUUUCCUUUUCCUGAAAGAUCCCUCAGCGUCCCUUUCGUCAGUAUCCACUUGACAAAUGCCUCUUUACCCCUUAAGCCUCAGCUCACAUGCCAUCAGUCAUCUGUAGUUUCUUCCACAGAAGAAAUUCCAGGCCCCCAGAAUUCCAAAAUGUCUUAGAAUUCCUUUCACAUCAGUGCUUCUCACAUGAAGCCACAUUCACUUAAGUGUUACUGCCACGGGCAGGCUCCCACCACCCCUUUUCAGGCCCACCUCGUUCACCUUUCUGUCCUCAGCACUAGCUUGGCAUGCUCUGAGUCUAAGACACACUUUGUGGAAUUGAACUGGGUGAAUUCUUUUAUUUAUUUAUUUAUUUGCCUUUUGCCUUUUCUAGGGCCACUCCCGAGGCAUAUGGAGGUUCCCAGGCUAGGCGUCGAAUCAGAGCUGUAGCCGCCGGCCUACCCCACAGCCACAGCAAUGUGGGAUCCGAGCCGUGUCUGCAACCUACACCACAGCUCAUGGCAACGCCGGAUCCUUAACCCACUGAGCAAGGCCGGGGAUCGAACCCGCAACCUCAUGGAUCCUAGUCGUAUUUGUUAACCACUGCGUCACAACGGGAACUCCUGAACUGGGGGAAUUUGGAUGCCCAGAGGGAGCCGUUGAGAUGUUUGAAGCAGGAAAUGAAUGUAUUUGGAUAGUGCUGGAGGCCUUUGGUCCCAGGCAGGGAUAUGACUCCAAUAGCCACGCUCUGGACCUCCUCAAAGGCGGAGGCAGGAAGAUGAAAUGAAGCAGAAAUUAAAGGAUUCCAUGUCAGGUGGGACAAGGAGGCUGAAGGAGGGGGCGCAUUAGAGGCUGAUGCUGGGAGGUGGGGUUUGUGGGUGCCAUCAGGGGAGGCAUUUCACAGGGAGCAGGAGGAUGUGGGUGUGCCCCAGAAGAAAGCUAAAGUCCUUCCAAGCCAAAGAAAAAUUCGAAGCACGCGUCUUUUUCCGAAGUAGUACAUGAGCAUCUUUCAAAGAAGGGAAGUGACGUUCUAAAGGUCAGAGCAGUAGACUGGCUAUUUGUGUUCUGGGUUGGAGAGGAACACACAGGCUAGGAAUCACCAUCCAGGUGCAAGGGAAGGCUGGCGCAUUUCAGCCACCUGCUAGAAGGGCCGGGUUCCAACCCCUGAGGGCAGAGGAGAGGCUUGUAUCCUGGGCCAAUUCCCAGGACACUCAUGCCGCCUCUUGUGCUUGGCUUGAAAGAAACACGCUCCAACUUCUUCUUCUGUUUCAAGGAAGAUAUGAUUUAGGUUUUGAAAGCCAUGCCUAGCUGUCAUUGGGGCGGAUGGCCUGGGUUAGAUCGCACUAGCCUGAGCUGUGGCUGUUUCCCUCAGACCUGACAAUAGCAGCUCAGUGACACGAGGAAGUGGCUUUCUCCUGUGGGGUCCACACUGGGCUCCAAGGACCCCGGGAAAUAUGUCACCUCUUAGUCCUGGGUAGUGGGGGGUGCUUUGGAUGGCACGUGAGCCUGGAGCUCCAGGGUCAUGGUUUAGACAGGUAUGUGAUGCUGAAAACCUUUUUGCCUUGCUGUGUUCUUAUUACAGACCAAUCUAAUCCAGCUUCCUUCAAAUUCUGCUCGUCUGGAUGUUUCCUGGUGACAUUUCAGCUAUUGCCUGGUCACAUGGGAAAGAGAACUGUUGCUAAAUGUGUGUGAUCUUUCGGGGUGGGGCCAAAAGGGGUCAGGUGUCGGGGAAAGGAGAGAGGGCGAGACAGGGGUAAGAGAUGCAUGCUGUGCCCGCUACAAGCCUGUGGAACCCUGGCCGUGUUCACACGUAGAGAACUCUGUUUCUUCCUCAAGAGAUUUUGUUCAGAUAUCUGGACUUUAGUUACGUACAGUAGAUCACCCUUGCAAACUUGCAACCUAUUUGCUCAGACAAUUUUCAUAGAGGUAUGAAUUUCAUAUGCAUAUGAAUACGGAAUUCUGGGCAAGAGAAAAGUGUUGAUAGGGUUAGUAUAAAUUAGAGACAGUUUAGGCCUGUGGUUGGUGUCAAGUAGCUUUUCUGCCUGUCUCAGCCCAGUGCUGGGCAUUUCAGGGCAGACGUGCAUGAAUAUGACCUUAAUAAACAAAAAGGGGAUCAGCCAUGUGAGCCCCGGGGGACCUCUACCAGCAGCCUCACUCUUUAGAUCACACCGAUGGUUCCAGGAAUAAAGGGAGGAGUUCUCUAAAGCGAAGUCAAUGUGGUCACAAAGCCCAUGAAUUUAUUUCACCUGAAAGGGAUAAGCCAUCUCAGAGCCUUAGGCUCUCAAACCAGGGCACAGACUUUGAAUUCGGUGUAAACUAAUGUCACUGAUGACACUGGCUUCAUUUCAGAUUUCCUCUAAAAAUCAUUCAUUCCCCCCAGGGCAUGGUAGACAGCAGGUAGAGGGCACCGAGGGCCUGGAACAGGGCAGUUGGGUCCAGGCUGCUGUGAAGCUCUGAUGGGCAGUGAGCAGAGGAGAGGCGGGUUCCCCCUCUCCCAGUCUGUCACACCAUGGGGUCGCAGCGGGGUCUAGGGACAGCCCCGCAUCACAAAACUACAUCAUUACGGAUACUCAUGCUGAUGCCAUUUCUGCAAAUGAAGUGAACUUUCUGUUUCAUAUGAUCGAAGCACACAGACAAAAGGGUUUCUGCUUCAGGGUGCAGAAAGCAUCCUGUGAAAUUACAGAUGUGUCCUAAACUGUCUGCUGCUUUCAUGGUGUGUUAAAGAAAUGGCAUGAUUGUGUUGGAGACCUGGGUCCUUGUGCUCUGAGUUACCACCGUUUAUUUUACUUCUCUUAGAGAUUAAGGGUGAUGUUAUUCAUUAAAGACUCUGUGAGCAGUCUUUGUGUGGGGGCAGAAUCUCACAACCUUGUUUUGUUGCUGGGACCCCCUAUAUGUGGUGGUGGGCUGUGUGCAUAGAGGCUCACAUUUUAAAAAAUUUUUUUUUGCUUUUUAGGGCUGCACCUGCAGCAUAUGGAGGUUCUCAGGCUGGGGUCCAAUAAUCAGAGCUGUAGCUGCUGGUCUAUGCCACAGCAACAGCUUAUGGCAACACCAGAUCCUUAACCUACUGAGCGAGGCCAGGGAUCGAACCCACAUCCUCAUGGAUACUAGUCAGGGUUCGUUACCGCUGAGCCACUAUGGGAACUCCUGUAUCUUCUAGUAGAAAGUAUGGUCUUUGAGGACAAGAACCGCUUUGAUUCAACUCUGUAAGCUUAGCAGCUAGAAUUGCACCUGUCACAUGGCCAAUCUCAAUAAAUACUUAGAGAUGUAGGUUUCCCAGCACGUGCCUUCCAUCAGACCUGACUCCUUGGGCCACUUAGGUCAGCUAUCAAAUCCUGCCUCAUUCCUACUUAACUUCUCUGGGGGAAAUGUCCUCUGCCAGUUCCUUCUUCCUCCAAAGGACUGACUGCUGGCUUGGCCAUUCCUAUUCUGCCAAACAGGAGGCUGGGCUGUGGAGGGGGUGGGAGGGGGCAGCAGGGACUGGGGUGGCACAGAACACUGUGUGAGUGAACUGGCAGAAGUUCUGUGGGCUCGCCAGCUGGUACCAUGUGGGAGAGCCAAAGGGAAAGUUUGUUUUUUCUGCCCAAAGCUCAGAAUCCUGAGCGCAAUCACGAGUCUUAGUGCUAAAGGCUUAGGUAUGAGACGUGUCAAGGUCAUCUCUGCUGCCUGCCUGAUGGGGGAGGGGCAUUGUGGGGAUGCCGUGUGUGUGUGUGUGCGUGUGUGUGUGCGCGGGGGUGUUGCCAGAUACUGGGCAUGUCCAGACAGCUAAUAACGUGCCUCCACAACACAGCGAGAGGAAGAGCCACUGAUCCAAUUCGCAAUUUAUCUUUUGGGUUGAUCCCGGUGUUUCCCCUUUAUUUCUGACUUGAUGUAUCCAUCUGUAGGCUCAGUGAGUUCACUUUGGCAAAGUAUUGCAUGAAUAGAAGUAUUUAACUACUCAAUAGAUUAGCUCAUAGUCAUGUGCAUGUAUGUGUGAGUGUGUGUGUGUACAUGGAGCAUACUUAACCCUUAAACGAGGGACUUUCCUUUUGGGUGGGGAACCCAGGAUUGGUUGCUUUAUGAGCAUAGCAAGCACAGAACCAGGAGAGGGGGUUGGAGCUGGUGAGGAAAAUUCUGGGUACAGCCAGACUGAAUUGCAUAGACUUUACCCUGGGGAAGAUCUUUGAUUGAGGAGGUAGGAAUCUUUGAUUGGAAAAGAAGUGGGGAGGAGUUAUAUGUGUUUUCUGGACUUCAAUCAAACCCUCUUCCCGUAUAGUUCUCAGGCUGAAAGAAAAUACAGGAAGCAUCUGGUCCAGCGUUUCUCAUCUGACUCUGUAUCAGAAUCACCUGGGAUUGCCUUUUUAUCUAGUUUUAUUGAGAUUCACCUGACAUAAAACAUCGUAUGGGUUUAAGGUGUACAACAUAAUUAUUUGAUAUAUGUGUAUAUUGGGAAAUGAUCACACAAUAGGCUAAGUUCACAUCCAUCACCUCUCCUAGUUACAGUUUUCUUCCUUAUGAUGGGAACUUUGAGAUGUACCCUCUUAGCUACUCUCAAAUAUGUAAUACGGUAUUGCUAACGAUAGUCACCGUGUUGUACAUUAGAUCAUCAGAACUUAGUUAUCUUAUAAUGGGAAGUUUGUACCUUUUGACCACCUUCACCCUCUUCCCCUACUCCCUACCCUAGCCUCUGGCAACAACCAAUCUGUUCUCUGUUUCUAUGAGUUUGGGUUUUUUAGAUUCCACAUGUGCGAUCAUAGAGUAUUUGUCUUUGCCUGACUUAUUUCACUUAGCAUGAUGUCUUCGAGGUCCAUCCAUGUGAUCUAAAAUGGUAAGAUUUCCUUUUUUUGGCUGAAUAAUAUUCCAUUGUAUACAUACACUGCUUUUCUUUAUCCAUUCACCUGUUGAUGGACCCUUAGGUUGCUUCCAUGUCUGGAGUAUCAUGAAUAGUUCUGUGAUGAACAUGGGGGUGCAUGCACCUCUUCAAGAAAGUGUUUUCAUUUCCUUAGGAUAUAUACCCUGAAGUGGAAUGGUUGGAUCCUACAGUAGUUCUAUUAAUUUUUUGCGGAACUUCCACAUUAUUUUCCACAGCGGCUACACCGAUUAACAUUCCCACCAACAGCACGUAAGGGUUCCCUUUUCUCCACAUUCUCACUAGCACCUUCUGUCUCUUAUCAUUUUGCUAUUAGCCAUUCUAACAGGCGUGAGGUGAUACCCCGCUGUGGUUUUGAUUUGCAUUUCCCCCAAUGGUUAGUGACGGUGAAGACUUUUUCAUGUACUUGUUGACCAUUUGUGUGUCUUCUUUGGAAAAAUGUCUGCUCAGUUUCUCUGCCCCUUUUUUAAAGGGACUGCUUGGUUUUUUGUUUUCGAGUUGUAUGAGUUCUUUAUAUCUCUUGGAUGUUACCCUUUAUUGGAUAUACAAUUUGCAAAUGUUUCUUCCCCUUCCCUUUUAAUUUUGUUAAUAAUUUCCUUUGCUGUACAGAUAGAAUUCCUUAUUAAAAAGGAAAAUUCUGGAGUUCCCGUCAUGGCGCAGUGGUUAACGAAUCCGACUAGGAACCAUGAGGUUGCAGGUUCGAUCCCUGGCCUUGCUCAGUGGGUUAAGGAUCCGGCAUUGCUGUGAGCUGUGGUGUGGGUCACAGACACGGCUCGGAUCCCGAGUUGCUGUGGCUGUGGUGUAGGCCGGUGGCUACAGCUCUCAUUCGACCCCUAGCCUGGGAACCUCCAUAUGCCGAGGGAGCGGCCCUAGAAAAGGCAAAAAG